rnacentral:lncRNA from 1 species
CUUUAAGACUGAUUAAGGGAAGUGGAAAACUUUGCAACACUAAUUCCACAUCAUCAUGAGCAGAGUAAAGAGUCUGGUACAAAACAAAAUAUAAAAAAAACAUAAGCAAUUAAAUAUGUAUUUAGCAGCAAGUGUGAUUCGAUUCCUGUUUUUCCCCCAGCAACUGCACUUGCUGAAACUGGACAUGCAACUGAAAAUUACUUUCUUGUUCUAAACAGAUUGUAUCAUUGUCUUCUUGUUCGUCUAAAUAAAUGGACUUUGCUUUUCAGCAUCUAGCUAAACACAGGAUCAGAUGCUAUAUUUUUUUGGUUAAUCAGCCCCUGUCUCUGCAGCUAUCUCUGAUGUCUCUCAGAUCAAAAGUUUGCUGAGUUUCUUUGUGAGCAUGAAAACUCCUAAUCCACACACUCAAGAAACUUGCAUUAGGAUUCUUCUCUUUCCAUUGUUUCUGAUCUGUCUCGACAAAUCCAAAAGGUAAGUGAUAAAUAAUAUAGUUCUGUUUAGACAUCCCUUGAAUUUAAUGGACACUGUGGAGUAUAAAAGUAGUUGAACCAGGCUCAAAAACAUGUUGGAUGAUUUUUUUUCAAC